GGACGGAGCUGGGUAGACUCGGAGUCUCGCGGAGGGAAUCCCAGGGAAUGAGGGGCCAGCAACAUGGACAGGGAAGGUGGGAAGUCCGCGGCUGUUGUCGCAGUUGUGACUGAACCUCGGUUUACCCAGCGAUACAGGGAAUAUCUCGAGAAGCAGAAACUCCUGGAGAGACAGUACCGUGUGGAAAAGAUGCCGGAUGGCACCGUGGCGCUACCAGUGGUGGGAGAGGCCCUCCCUGAGCAGCACCUGCGGGAGCUGAGGAAUCGUGUGGCUCCAGGCAGCACCUGUGUGCUAACGCAGCUCCUGAAUCCUGUUCCUUCAAAGAAGGCCCAGGCUUGUUCACCUGCCCAAAGGCUGUGUCUUGAGGUGAGUCGCUGGGUAGAGGACCGCGGAGUGACGUGGUCAGCUCAGAUGGAGGCUGAUCUGCCCCGAUCUUGGCAACGACAUGGUGACCUCUUGUUGCUGAGUGAGGACUGUUUCCAAGCCAAGCAAUGGAGAAAUCUGGAACCAGAACUCUGGGAGACGGUUGCCUCGGCACUUGGCGUCCAGCGUUUGGCCAAACGAGGGCGGGUGUCACCGGAUGGCACUCGAACUCCAGCAGUGAGUCUGCUUCUGGGCGACCAUGGCUGGAUAGAGCAUGUGGAUAAUGGGAUCCGAUAUAAGUUUGACGUGACCCAGUGCAUGUUCUCCUUCGGAAACAUCACUGAGAAGCUUCGUGUGGCAUCGCUGCCCUGUGCUGGAGAAGUGCUGGUGGAUCUCUAUGCAGGGAUUGGUUAUUUUACCUUGCCUUUCCUAGUUCAUGCUGGUGCUGCCUUCGUCCAUGCCUGCGAGUGGAAUCCCCAUGCUGUAGUUGCUCUGAGAAAUAACCUUGAGCUCAAUGGAGUAGCUGAUCGAUGCCAGAUACACUUUGGGGAUAACAGAAAACUGAAGCUCUCAAACAUUGCGGACAGGGUGAACCUGGGGCUGAUUCCCAGCUCUGAAGAAGGCUGGCCCAUUGCCUGCCAAACGCUAAGACAGGAUGCUGGAGGCAUUUUGCAUAUUCACCAAAAUGUGGAAUCUUUCCCAGGGAAGACUCUCCAGCCUCCUGGAAGCAGUGAAAUGGAAAAGGAGUGUUGGUCUUCUCCUCAGCAAAUGAUCACUAACCAGUUGAAAAAUGGAGCUGCCAGUGAUUCUAGGAGAAAAAUGCUGUCAGCCGCCACCAAGCCAGAGUGGCAAAGGUGGGCGGAAGCUGCAGAAACUCAUAUUGCCACUCUUCUUCAACAGGUGCACGGGAAACCGUGGAAGACACAAAUCCUGCACAUCCAACCAGUGAAAUCCUAUGCUCCCCACGUGGAUCACAUAGUCCUGGAUCUGGAAUGCCGCCCCUGUCCUCUAGUUGGCUAGAGAAGGUGGAUCCUGAGACAGGAGGAUCUACGUGUGAGUGACCCUUAAAGCAUCAACUCAGGCUGGGGCCUCACCCCUCUUGUCUCCUGAAUGAGCUACGUAUCUGGGAGAAGUAGUGUGACUCAUUGAAAUGAGGCCUGGCUGUGCAAUCGCACUGUGCGGAGGGCCAGGGACGUAGAGGUGAGUAAACCUGAGUCCUGCCCACAAUGGAAUCACCAUCUGGUGACACGGACACAGAUGAAGCAAUGUCAGUACUGUGUACUAAGUGCACAUAUAGAAACAAGUGGGUUUUUGCAGGCACACGUAGGAUCUGGGUUCUGGGAGGUGGAGAGGGUGGCUGGGAAGGCGGCAGCAGGGGUGCCUAAGCUGAGAGUUAGAGAGCAUGCCAGAGUUACAUGUGAUGGGAGAGAAUAAGGGUCCCUUAAGCCUCUUCUCCACCUGAGUAUAUCCAUUUACAGUACAGUUUUCUCCAAGCACUUGCUGGAUGGCCUGACCCAGAAGAGACAUUUAGUGCAACCAAGGAAAAAAGACUGAAGGGGUCAGGAGGCUCAUGGCAUCCUUACAAAUUCAAUCCAGGAAUUUGUAAAAGUUCUAAAGGCUUCCUUUGCGGGCAUUAAUAUUAGUUGCUGAUUCAUGUACCCACUUGAUGGAGAAGUUGUGAUUAAAAAACAAUAAUAAUGAUUUUAUCAAACUCCCUCAACCGUGAGCUGCUCUAUUCAUUCACUCCAUAAUUUUAAUAAAUUACAUGCAUGUAUUAAUACACAAGUAUAAUGUAUAUAUUUAAAACGUACAAACAGAGAAGUUUAAAACGAUGAGACACAAAUAUAUAGAAAAAGCAUUUUUAAUUCAGUUUCUUCCACCCUGGGCACAUGUGUGAGAAGAAACCCAGUAUAUGUCACUCCAAACAGCCUCAAGGUGCAGCCACUUCACAUGGGCAAGCCAUAAAACUAGUCAUUUUCAAACUAAACUAUUAUUUUAAAUGAUUAAAACUAUUUUCAUAUUUUUUAAAGCAUUUUUGAGUUUUGUUCUGGAAUACAGUUAGGUUACUUGGAAACAGUUUGAUCUUUUUGAGUCUUGCUUUUAAGCAUUUGUUAGAGCAGCAUAUAGUCUAGGAUUAAUUUUUUUCCAUUAUUGAAGCAAGGCCUUUCUUCGUUCUCUGACGCCUUGUGAAUUAUGAGAUUUUCCACUCUUGCUGUACAUAAGAACAGGAAUUAUCCACCACCCUGUGUGGUGUGAGCUCUGAGUAUUGUUUCCUAUAAUCCUUUCUGGUGGGUCUUUUGUUGGCUUUUGCUAGUUUCCUAUCAUGUGGGCUGAUCAUUACUCAGCUGAAAACUUUUAAGGGAACAGUCAGCAGAUCUUUGGAGUUCCCUCUGUGUGGCUUUCUCCUCUCUGGCAUUCUACCCUGUGAACUCUACUUACUUGGGCUCCCAGGACUCACCUCCUCACCUCAGGGAGUCAGACUGCUGGCCUCCACUCCAUCCUCAUGCCACAGCCUGGAAAACUUCUCCAGGCUGUAAGUUGGAGCAAUUGUAUGGCUCACCUGGUUUGUUUUCCACCUCUCAUGGACCAUUGCUCUUCAUCGCCUAUGUCCGAUGCCUUGAGGGCCAUUGUUUCAUAAAUUUUGUCAAUUUUUUUUAACUAUUUAGAAGUUUAUAAUAAUUGUUUUGACGUAAAUGUACUAGCUUUCACAAUCAUUGAUGAAAUUCACUAUAGCAAUAAUAUACAUACUUCAGCUGACACAAUGUUUCAACAUGUAAAGCACAUAAGAAUUUCUUGCUACAAUUAUGUUUAGAAUGCUUACCUAUAUUAUAAAAUGAAUAUUAAAAUAUUAGCAAUGAUAUCUUUCUGAUUAGAUACGAUAAUAACUUGCAAGAUUUCCUGACCAACAAUCACACACAAUUUCAGAGAGGCCAGAAACAGUGAGAAAAUAGGUAUUUGUCUCUUUGGGUUUUUAAAGGUCAAGGUUGAAUCCAAGGUAAGUAGAAAAUAUUGACUAUGAGGCUAAAACUGAAUUUUGGUAUAACACACACAUAUUAGGUAGGUAGGUAGAUACAGAUGGAUAGACUGUCCUAGUUUCCCUUCUUUUAGUAAUUGAAUUUUAUUUUAAAAUCAAAGCUAAAUGUACAGUUUCAAAAUUCAAAUAAAAGUAGCAAAACUUUAUGGAAAAAACAAAGCAGUUCUGCAGCACCAUGGUGAAGCAGCUGUCCUGCAGCUCCUUUCCCUUCACUUUGUGUGUCUACUUUCAGCACUUUCAAAUGGGCCUAUGUGCCAAAGGAGAUGCAGGACCUAACCUACAUGUACCAGCAGGAGCCAUGAGAGUCUGUUGAACUGGGUGCUGAGGGUGUCGGAUGGGAAGCAGUUUGCAUUCAUAUAGGACAGAGAACAGUACUUGCCCACCCUCUAUCAUAAUAUAGUCUGAAGAGAUCUAGACCAUCUGAACCUUCCACGGAAUGUCACACUGACCUAUUACAUUCAUGACAUCAUUACUACUUGGGCCAGGUAAACAAUAAGUAGCUAGCAUAUUAUACUCCCAAGGAUAGGAAAUAAUCACUAAUAAGAACAAGCAACCUUUUACAUCAGUGAAAUUUUUAGGGUCUAGUGGUCUGCUUGAAUGUCAAAAUGUCUCUGUAGUAAAGAACAAAGUUUUGCAUCUCACUCAUUUUAUCAAUAUUCUGCCACCAAGAAUGCACAUCAAGCUCCAGGCUUCUUUGUGGGAAUUCAGAACUUGAGAAUACUGCUCUGACUCAUAUACUGGGUGACUGGAAGGCUGCCAGUUUUCAGUGGGAUCCAGAGCACAUAAAGGCUCUGUAGCAGGUACAGGCUGCAGUGUAAUUAGCCUUAUUGCAUGGGCCAUUCAAUACAGGAGAUUCUACGGGACAAGAGUAUCUGUGAUAAGCAUAGCAGCAAGCUCCAACUGGAGAAUUGCAAGGUAGACUUCUAGGUUCUGUAGCAAGGCCAAAGCAUCUGCAGUGGAGAACCACACGUCAUUCAAGAACGGCUCCUUGCAUGCUGAUGGGCCUUGGUAGGAAGUGAGCAUCUCAUGGGACAUCAAGUAACCCUUCAUGAGCUAUAGGUUUUGUCAGACCCACCAAGUCAAUCCAUCAUAAGGUGGAAGUGGCACACCUGGGAUCAGUGACAAGUAGGGCCAGGGGAAAUGAGUAGGUACAUAGGCAGAUGGUCCAGACUCCCGUAUCAUACGUAUAACUCUUGAACCAGGGUCCCUCCCUCAGUUCACAACUGUGGCUGCUUGAGAGGCUCUUUUGUCUAGCUGAUUCAGGACCAAAAAGCCCAAGCUAAGUUCACCGAUGGGGAUAUUGGAAUAUGGGUUCAAAACAAAAAUAGACUUCUGCCCUACAGCCCAAAUCAGGAGUGCUGUUAAAAGACAGGUGAAUUCUCCAAAAAGGCAGAAUUGGGGGCAGUAUUCCUGGUCAUCCACUUUGUGUGGAAAAAGAAGUGGCUUGAAGUAAGAAUAUAUCUUCUUGGCAAGUGGCAAAUAAGUUGGCUAGAUGAUCAGGGGCCUGGCAUGAAAAAGAUUAGAUCAGGGACAGGGAAGCCUGGAGAAGAAGCAGUGGAGAAGUCUGCGGGAUUCGGCACAUGAGUAAAGAACUUUGUGUUGUAUAACAAUGCCUACCAGGGAUAAUCCACCGCAGAACAGGCACUCAACAACCAGGUAAACAGACUUGGCCAGUAACUUCAGCAACCGCAGCCAUCAGCUGCCCCAGUACUGGCACAGUGGGCUCAUGUACAUUGUCAUGUCCCAGGGAUGCAGGUGAGCAAGAGGCCAACAGCACGGCUUCCACUCACCAAGUGGCCACUCAUGUUCAGCACAGAGCCCUUGAUACAAUAGCAUCCCUCAAGGAAACCAAGCAGCUACUUGGUAGCAAGUUGAUUACACUGGGCUCCUAUCCUAGAAGGACAGUGACGGACCUUUACUAGAAUCUUCCCGUCUCCAGGUAUGAGUUUGCCUUUCCUGCCCACAAGAUGUUGGCCAGACUACUUGUCCAAGGGUUUACAAGUGUUUGAUCCAUCAAUAUGUAUCCUGCAUAAUAUUGCCUUUGACCUAGGGACCUACUUUACAGCAAAGGACUGUUUCAUGACCAUGGGAUUCACUGGUCCUAUCACAUACUACAGAACCUAGAAAAUGCUGGCCCGGUGGAGUGGUGAAAAAUCCUUUUGAAACUGCAGCAAAAGCUUGGAAGAUGUGAAGAUGGGAUGCCGUCCACCAGGACUCAGUAUACUAAAUCAAACUCAUUAUAUAGUGCCAUGUCCAGUAUAGACAGAAAAUGCAAGUCUGGGAAUGAAAAGGUAGAAAUAGAAUUCCCCUUGUAGGCUAAAUAAUGGCCCCCAAAUAAGUCCAUGUCCUAAUACCCAGAACCUGUGAAUAUGUGAUCUUACAUGGUAAAAGGGACUUGGCAGGUGUGAUUAAGUUAAGAUGGGGAGACUAGCUUUGAUGAUCCAGGUGGACCCACUAUAAUCUCAGAGGUCCUUGUAAGAGGGAGAUGGGAGCAAGUAGUAGGAGAUCUGAUGAGCAAAGCAGGAGGAUGGAGUGAUGUAAGGAGGGGACCAUGGGCCAAGGGAUGUAGGCAGCCUCCAGAAAUUGAAAAAGGCAAAUGGAUUCUCUCCCAAAGCCUUCAGGAGAAACAAAGCCUUGUUGACACCUUGAUUUUAGAUUUCUGAUCGCCAUAAUUUAAGAGAAUAAAUGUGUUGUUUUGAACCACUAAGUUUGUGGUAAUUUGUUAUAGCAGCAGUAGGAAAUUAAUACACCCACUUCCUGUCUCCACUGAUCCAUGUGCUUUCCACCCCCACAACUCUGCUCUAGAGCAGCGGUCCCCACCCUUUUUGGCACCAGGGACCGGUUUCGUGGAAGACAGUUUUUCCACGGACUGGGGGGAUGGUUCAGGCAGUAAUGCGAGCGAUGGGGAGCGAUGCGGUGCGGCAGAUGAAACUGGCUCACUCGCCAGCCGCUCACCUCCUACUGUGCGGCCCGGUUCCUAACAGGCCCGGGGGUUGGGGACCCCUGCUCUAGAGGGCUGGUUCCUAUCAGGGGAACUGUUUCAUCAGGAGACACAAUUAAUAGAUCCAUUAAACUUUAACCUACCGAGGUUUCCCAGUAAUUUUAGGCUCCUUGUGCCAAGAGACCAGCAAACAAGAAAGAAUCACCAUCCUGGUUGGAGUAAUUGAAUCUGAUCAGGCGGAACUGGAGUUACUGACAAUGAGGGCAGAAAGGAAUAUAUUUCACACUCAAUGCAUCCACUAGGGUGUCUCUUUGAUACUUCCCUACCCAAUAUCAGGAGUAAAAUGGGCAACUUCCAAAAUGGCAGAAUAAGGACCUCCAAAAACUGGCUCUUCCAUAAAAAGCAAUGAGAACACUGGCAAAAAUUGUCAAAAUCAACCUUUUCAGAAUUCUAGAAACUAAAGGCUUGCAACAAUCUAAGAAGCUUUCAUUCAAGAAAAGCAGCUAAGUCUUGAUUAAAAAGGAAAGCUUCUGGCUUUUUAACUUGCUCUAUUCCCAGCCCCUCACCUCUAAUACAAUGUUAAAUUGUUCCUAAUUUUAGGGAGAAUGCCUCUACUGUGUUUCAUCAUUAAGUUAUAUACUGUCCUUAGGUAGUAUCCAUAGAGUCCCAUUAUAGUGCUGUUUUUAAAAAAUCAUCCUUUUUCCACCGCACUGUAGUGUCACUUUUAUGAUAAAUCAGGUGAUUGUAUAUGUGUGAGGCUAUUUCUAGACUUUCUCUUCUGUUCCAUGGGUCAGGUUUUCUAUCCAUAUACCACCAAUACCAUCUUGUCUAAAUUAGAGCCUUAGAAUAAGUCCUGAUAUGAUACUGUAAAUCAUUCAGCUUUGUUCUUUAAGAUUGCAUUAGUUAUUCUUGACCUUUUGCAUUUUCUUACGGAUUUUAAAAUCAGCUUGUCAAUUUUUUGAAAAAAAAUCCUGCUGAGAUUUUUUUGGGGUGGGGGGAAUUACAUUGAACCUAUAAGGUAAAACUGACAUCUUUGCAAUAUUGCAUCUUUCACCUUGAAGCUUUUGUUCUACUCAUUUGGGUGUAGCCAUGAAAUGAGAAGUGAUUAUCAGAAACCUGGAUGACAGGAUCCCGUCCAGGGUGAAGGAUCCUAUAUUUCCCGUCUGUCAGAGGGAUACUAUAUCCAUCUCCUCUAGGCUCCCUGCCUUGACAGAUGUUUUUAACUUAGUAUUACUUGUACUCUUCCUCUCAGCAGUAUCUAAUCCCUCAGAUUAUUCUUAACCAUCACCUUAGAUGACUAACAUAUUUGAGCCUAUCAUAUAUUUAUAUCCUAAUAUAAAUUCAGUACUACUGAAUGGCUAUCACAUAUA